UUCAGGCACCCAUAGGCAACCAGUCAACCACAGUCUGGAAGCAGAUAAUCCUCCUUCUGACCUAUCAUCAAAAGGUUAUUAUUAACCUAAUGCUAGGUCGUUCACCUUUCUUCAUCUCAUCACAUGGGAAUUCUAUCAUCUCACAUCAUCACAAUAAGAAGGGGUUGAGAAGACCAAAUUGUAACUUGGUAUUGCCCAGGGCUAGCUGAGUUCUGGAGUUGGUGGUCCAAAGGCUUCCCAAGAGGAAAUGUACUAUCUGAGGAUGGGACUUGGGGCCAUUUCAGGAUGCACAGUGUCCGCUGAAGAAGAAAUUGCAAAUUCAUAGCCUGCUUCUAUGUUUAGAGGACACAGAAGAGAAGCAUCAUAGCAAGAUGGACAACAGAGGGUGCCCUCCACUUUGUGCAUAAGAUGCAUUGACUAAUCAUUUCCUGAAUCAUUACUAAGUGAUGCUUCAUAAAAUUCUUGGCAACUGAGUCUUUUAAACUGCAACAGAUGUGAAAUGUUCCAAAGCCACAACGACCUCGCCGCGGUAGAGGGUGAUAAUGCUGGGAGUGGAAGAAUAAAUAGGCGGAGUUCUGCACUUGGACAGCAGUGCACUGGAAGGGACAAGAGGUCCAAUUCAAAUCCCCCACCUCUUCCAGGAAGCCAUUCCUGACUGCCUAGCUGGAUGUGGUAUAGCCUCCCUGUGAACUCUCACACCACCAUACCAGAAUCUCUGUAAGGACCUUCAAGCUUUCUACCUCACAACAUACUUUCUACAUUUCAACUCUCUGAAGGAUUGCUUUCAUAAUGGCGACUCAAAUACAGAUUCCUUAUUCCAAGAUGGUUAUAAAGAAGAUGAACCAUCAAUAAUCCCAUGAAAGAACACUGGGCCAAAGAGAAUUGUGGACAUCUUAUAAGCGCCUCGGGACUGGAAUGAGGAUUUCUGAUUUCCAGAUCUCCUCCCUAGCACUAAACAACAUGGCUUCAGGGCCAAAAUUGUGAUGCUCAAAAAAGAACUCAGAAAACUAUGCUUAUGAGGAGUAUGAGGCAGAGAGGGUGUAAUUUAUCCUGAGUAUACAGCCGGAAAGCUGAAUCUGAACACAAACAGUACUCCACAGAACUCUUGCUUUGGAACUCAAGCUACCAAAAGAUAAGGAUCUUGGCUGAUGACACAAAAAGAAAACCAAAUGCAGAGUUGGUGCCUAGUGAGAAAUGGAUGGAAGGUGAUUCUGUAGAAAUUGCAAGUGCAAGCAAGUAAGAGAGUGUAUUCUCUUAAGUCUUCAUUAUUCACCACCCCCCCAUUGGCCAGUGAUUCCUAAAAACCGGUCAUGGGCCAGUGGUGGUUUAAGUCUAUGUUUUCACCAGACUGGGGAGAAAUGAAGAAAAUAAAGACAAUGUGCCAGUACAAUGGAACCAUGGCCCUAUCUCAAUCCACCUUGCCAGAAGGAAACUGCAGUGGAAGAAAACCAAGUUAAUGAGGAGUGAGAGAAGACAUUAAGGACCAGCUGAGUCCCAGAGACAACGCUGAAAAACCAUCCAAGGAGGUUGCCAGACUGCAACAGCCACAUCUCAGCGGGCAUUACUACUGGACGACGUCACUUUAAGUGGACAAGUGAGACUGCAGAUGAAGGAACUGACAGCAGCAGCUGAUACUACAAGCUAAAAGUCAAGUAGCACAUAGUGCCGCUACAGAUACUUUCUUCCUGCAAGCAAAGGGAGAUUUGGCUGGCAAAUGUGAGGAGCAGAACUAAAAUGAAGUAGCUUUAGUUCUUGAAAUCGUUUGUGCUCAAGGAUAAGCUCCACAGACAGUGGAAGCAAGGCAGAGAGGCAACUGGAAAGAGAGAGAUGGAUGAGAGCUGCCGGAAAUGAGAGCUUAGCAGAACAGAAUGUGAAAUCCAAGGACGUUUUCCAAGAGGAAGGCUCUUUGAUGUUUGACUCUCACCAAAUUACGGAGCACAGCUAACUGCUGGCCCCUCAAUCCUUGCCUCACCAGCGGAGGAAACACACCAGCCUGACUCCUGCCUUCAGUAUUUUCUGAACAGGAGAUGCCUGCCUUCUUAUAUGGUCUACUUCUAUUCCAGAGUGGUGAUAUUCCAAUCCAUGUAUAUUUUAGAGAGGAGGCA